rnacentral:lncRNA from 1 species
GGAGAGGGAGUCCUUACCCAGCUGAUGAGUAGCAGGCUUGCGGGGCUCUUUUUCUUCUCGGUGGUGACAAAAAGAGCAAUAAAAUGUCUUUUGUCUGUCGUUCCCCUGGCCUUUAAUUUUUUUUUUUUCUUUUCUCCCCGUCCUCCUUUAGUACAUAUGGGAGGAAAUCCCUUUCUGCCUCUGAAUGGAGCUACUGAAGAGCAGAGUGCUGCUACACCCGGGGCCCUGCAGCACGCGCUUGGCAGAGGUGGUGUUCGGUGUGUGAGGGGACGUGGGGAAGGAUUUCCCUGCUAA